ensembl:miRNA dre-mir-9-1 microRNA 9-1
UCUUUGGUUAUCUAGCUGUAUGAGUGAUGUACAUUCUUCAUAAAGCUAGAUAACCGAAAGUA